GGAUGCGAUCAUACCAGCACUAAAGCACCGGAUCCCAUCAGAACUCCGAAGUUAAGCGUGCUUGGGCGAGAGUAGUACUAGGCUGGGUGACCUCCUGGGAAGUCCUCGUGUUGCAUUCC
rnacentral:rRNA from 1 species